rnacentral:lncRNA from 1 species
UAUGUAGAAUUUAUCUAUCCACAUCAACUAUAGAGACAAUAAAGAUAUCAUCAUUGGUGAUGGUAAUAGAAUCUCUCUCACUCACUCUACUUCCACAACACUCUAUUCACACACAAAUACUUUUUACACUAAAUAAUAUUUUGUGUGCACCUCACAUAAAAAAAAAAAUUCUAUCUCUCAAUUCUGCAAAUAAAAUAAUACAUCUAUUGAGUUCUUUCCUCGUUCAUUUCUUGUUAGGG